CUCACCGCCAUGGAAGCACGCAGAGUCUGCACAGCACGUGACGGAAGAAUAAAUCCCUUUCAAGGAUCUCACCUGCCUUCACAACGUUGAUCCUGAUGACACCUCAAGAUUGAUCUGACAACAUUCAGCAGCUGUGUCAGACAGCCAUGUCCAUCAGCCCCGGAUCCCCACAUGGUGGUGUACUUUCCCCUCUACACCGGGUGCUGCACCUCCAGCCACCGGUGCGUAAAAGUCAUCAAGUCUGCGGACAAAGCCAUGAGUCUGCCUACAGUCUGCGUUCAGAUCUCGGAGACACGGCAAUGACAGGUCGACAAUCGUUCUGCGGUUCACGCCAAUCCCCAGAGAGAAGCACCUCCUACUCUACUCUAUUUUUAAUAGGAACGCCCCAGAUAUUUGAUCUUCGUUGUUAUGGCAAUAUUGAUAUUUUAGUAAUCUUUUGUUUAAAACCCCAAUUUGAGUGUAGGUGUUUGCGUGUGGCUUCACUGCAUUUUGUCCAAAGGUAAGACCCUUUUAUGACCCCUACACAUUCUUGGGGCUUGCUGGAGAUGGUUCCACUGGGUUCUUCUUACACCCUAACCCCCACCUUCUCCACGUAUGAGACAAAGACUGCUGUGAUGUGUGAAGAUCACUAAUUUAGAUUGUAUUUUGGUCCAAAGGGUACUCUCCAAAUGGGGUUCUUACAUGACUGCAUUUUCUAUGUUUGAUCUAAUCAUUCCUGUUUUGCUAAUACCACAAACAGAUGAAGUGUGUUGUGCUCAUCUUCCUCUCCCUCCCAGGA